rnacentral:rRNA from 1 species
UACAGAGGUCUCGAGCGUUAGGCGGAAUCACUGGGCUUAAAGCGUGUGUAGGCGGAUCGUUAAGUACCUUGUGAAAUCCCACGGCUUAACCGUGGAACUGCUUGGUAUACUGGCGGUCUUGAGCCAGCUAGGGGCUACCGGAACAAAUGGUGGAGCGGUGAAAUGCGUAGAUAUCAUUUGGAACGCCAAUGGUGAAAACAGGUAGCUGGGGCUGUGCUGACGCUGAGACACGAAAGCCAGGGGAGCAAGCGGG